CCAUGUUAGUCGAGGGUGNUUNNCUUCGGAAGAGGUAACCGGCAGACGGCUCAGUAACACGUGGACAACUUACCCUUGGGACCGGGAUAACCCNUGGGAAACUGGGGCUAAUACCGGAUAGAGCAUCGGUUGCUGGAAUGCACGAUGGUCUAAAGCUGAGGCGCCCAAGGAUAGGUCUGCGGCCGAUUAGGUUGUUGUUGAUGUGACGGAUCAACAAGCCUACGAUCGGUACGGGUUGUGAGAGCAAUAGCCCGGAGAUGGGUUCUGAGAGAAGAACCCAGGUCCUACGGGACGCAUCAGGCGCGAAAACUUUACAAUGUGCGAAAGCACGAUAAGGGAACUCUGAGUGCCUCCUAAGGAGGCUGUUCGGGUGUCUAAAAAGCAUCCGAAGGAAGGGCUGGGUAAGACCGGUGCCAGCCGCCGCGGUAACACCGGCAGCCCAAGUGGUAGCCACGCUUAUUGGGUCUAAAGCGUCCGUAGCCGGCCAAGUAAGUUCUUUGGGAAAUUUGACCGCUUAACGGUCAAGCUAUCAGGGGAUACUGCUUGGCUUGGGACCGGGAGAGGUCAGAGGUACUCCAAGGGUAGGGGUGAAAUCCGUUAAUCCUUGGGGGACCACCGGUAGCGAAGGCGUCUGACCAGACCGGGUCCGACGGUGAGGGACGAAGGCUAGGGUCGCGAACCGGAUUAGAUACCCGGGUAGUCCUAGCUGUAAACGAUGCGGGCCAGGUGUUGGCAUUACUGCGAGUGAUGCCAGUGCCGAAGGGAAGCCGUUAAGCCCGCCAUCUGGGGAGUACGGUCGCAAGGCUGAAACUUAA
rnacentral:rRNA from 1 species